CAUGGGGGAGAGGAACAGGCUUUGGCUCUACAUUUAGAAGUCAGUCUUUUUCUCUCUCCUAUA
rnacentral:pre_miRNA from 1 species